ACUCCUACGGGAGGCAGCAGUGGGGAAUAUUGCACAAUGGGCGAAAGCCUGAUGCAGCGACGCCGCGUGAGGGAUGACGGCCUUCGGGUUGUAAACCUCUUUCAGUAGGGAAGAAGCGAAAGUGACGGUACCUGCAGAAGAAGCACCGGCUAACUACGUGCCAGCAGCCGCGGUAAUACGUAGGGUGCGAGCGUUAUCCGGAAUUAUUGGGCGUAAAGAGCUCGUAGGCGGUUUGUCGCGUCUGUCGUGAAAGUCCGGGGCUUAACCCCGGAUCUGCGGUGGGUACGGGCAGACUAGAGUGCAGUAGGGGAGACUGGAAUUCCUGGUGUAGCGGUGGAAUGCGCAGAUAUCAGGAGGAACACCGAUGGCGAAGGCAGGUCUCUGGGCUGUAACUGACGCUGAGGAGCGAAAGCAUGGGGAGCGAACAGGAUUAGAUACCCUGGUAGCUACGAG
rnacentral:rRNA from 1 species